AAAUUUAAUCUAAAAUAAUCACCACUCACCGUAAGCUCGACUACGGAACCUCUUUCCUAAAGCUCCAGCUGAAUUCCCCUGCCUGAAAAUCUUCACUCGCACUCUAAUUGAACUUGGAUUGUUCAAUUGUUUGACUAUCGUUCAUUGUUGGGCUUUUCCGCUGCUGGAUUUAAUUGUGGGAUAAGGUUCUCUAUCAUUGUUCUCCAAUUGUUGCUUGGAGAUGCAUCUUAUUGUCACUUUAAACCAAGGACAUUUGUACAAAUAUGUGGUCACGGCAAACAUAAAUCUUACUAAAAAAGGGAAUCGACCAGAGGACUUGUUUAUGGUAUGCCUAUCUCGAAAGAUCAGAAGUCUGCAGUUUCUCCAUAUGUUUCAGAUAAAAAUGCAGAAUGUUGGGCUCUUGCAUUAUGCAGAAUGCGUGGAGCGGCACUCAAGUUGGGCCAGAUGUUGAGCAUCCAUGAUGAAUUUCUAGUACCUGCUCCGAUCCUGGCUGCUCUGGAUAUCGUUCAUCAGGGCGCAGACGUGAUGCCAAGGAGCCAGCUCAAUCAGGUGUUGGAAGCUGAGUUAGUUCGUGAAUGGUCGUCUAAGUUGACAAGCUUUGAUUAUGAACUAUCAGCUGCUGCAAGUAUAGAACAGUCACAAAGGAUGGAUUCGACGUUGCCAUGAAAAUCCAGUAUCCUGGUGUUGCUGCGGAUAGCAUUGAGUGACAUUGAUAAUGUGAAACUGAUUUUAGAUUACACGAAUCUGCUACCAGAAAAAAUGCAUCUUGACAGAGCUAUCAUAUGAGAGUGGCUAUCUGUUACCUGACAGAAACCUGGAAAAUGAAAAUUGAUGCUCUGUUAUUGCUGCUUCUGGUAUCUUGACCACAUCAAAGGGCAAAACUCCACUUAGUUGCUAGACCUAAUACUUUGUUCCUCAUUUUGUAUUCAUCUACUGGUGCCAGUUGGUGUGUUCAUUACCACCGUAAGAUGUAUACAUUUUCUGAGGUUUAUGAAAAAUAUUGAUCACAUCCGGCAUCCCAGCAAGCAUCACUUGUGUUUGGUUCAUAUAUAGUGUUUUCAAGUAUUUACUGAUUCAAGUAUUGAGCCUGUUCAAGUGAUUCAUUUCAAAUGACAAGAUUUGAGUUGUCAUUUCAAAUUCUCAUAUUUAUACUUAUAUUUGAAUGUUUGGAUUCGAAAUGAAUUCCAAAUCCAAAUUCCCAAACAAGUUAUUUGAUCAAAUCGAGAAUUUCAAAUGAAAUCAAAGUUUUCAAACAGGCCAUCAAUUUUUAUGUGUGAUUUGUGUUCUGGCGCAACAUUGGGUUGUUUUCCUUAUGCUUUAUUUCUCAUAUUUAUACUUAUAUUUGAAUGUUUGGAUUUGAAAUGACUUCCAAAUCCAAAUUUCCAAACAAGUUAUUUGAUGAAAUCCGAAAUUUCAAAUGAAAUCCAGGUUUCCAAACAGGCCAUCAAUUUUUAUGUGUGAUUUGUGUUCAAGCGCAACAUUGGGUUGUUUUCCUUAUGCUUUAUUGUACAAAUGCAAACAAGUGUAUUCUUAAUUUAACCAUUGUCUUGAUUUUUUGUUUAAAUUUUGGAUGUUGCUAAAGUUUCUUGCAGAUGCAAAAUGUGGUCAUUUGAUUAUGCUUUUCUUGCCUGCACCCGAUUAUUAAUUUCUGGAGAAGCAAGUAUUCUCUCAGCAGGAGACUGAGAACUCGAACUCUGCAAUUCGGAACUGCUCAGAAUAUGUGCAUGUAUGCUUUCACUUCCUUUGCCGCUAGAUAAUCACAGGACCGCAUGCAUUUUCUCC